GAGGUUAUGACCUCUAUACAUUUAACGGUUCUAUUAAUCGUUCUGGGUCUUUCUUCCCUUUAAACGGCUGUGCUAGGUUUGGAAGUUCGUACGACAUGCAGGGUGUCGGCGCAGAUGAUAUCCAUAAUGGUAAUUAAAACGUCACUGAAUUGGAAGUUUACAAAGUAGCAUAUGACGAAGAUAAAGAAAGAAAACCGUGGCGGGAGUUGGACAACUGGAAUACAAAGGAGCUGGAAAAGCUCAAGGAAGACAUUCUUACAUUCAAACCGUCUCCCGACCUUAGUUUCAAGGAGGCAAGAAUUGCAAUGAUAGGUCCAGUUGGAGCCGGGAAGUCGAGUUUCUACAAUACAAUAGAUUCGAUAUUUCGUGGUCGUAUAACACAAAGAGCCUGCAGUGGAAGCGCGGAGCAAAGUGUUACUACUGGGUAUAUACCAUACUCGGUUAGGACUGACAAUGGAGACUCACCGAAGUUCAUUUUGUGUGACACGCCUGGUCUCGAAGAAUCUGCUGGUUUGGAAGUUAACGAGUGUAGUUACCUACUAGACGGAAACUUACCCAACUUUUACUUAAAAUUCCACAACUUAUUGUACUGACGAAGGUAGACAAGCUAUGUAAAGACGUCCAAAAGGAUAUAUCGUUCACAUACAAAAGCUGGGUAGUUGAGGAACAUGUCGAGAAAGCAUCGCAAUUUCUUGGUCUUCGCCGAUCUAACGUACUUCCGGUCAAAAAUUACGAGGAAGAAACAACACUUGAUAUCAACAUAAACAUUCUUACUUUACUCGCUUUAAGAAAGAUUUUAGACUCGACAGAAGAUUAUAUGCAUAAUCUACUGGAUAGACAAAAGUUUGGGCAAAUGAAAAUAUGCGAAAAGUAACACAAUGUUUCUUGAAAGAAUAAGCAACAUUUUGAGGAGGAAUAAAGAUGUCAGUGCGUAUGCUUGACAUUAAUGACAAUAGCAAUACAAUGUAUUUUUAUGUAUCCUACUACAUGUGUUCUCUAGUGGUAUGCUGCAAUAAUUCUAAUGGUAUUGUUAAUCUAUGUUUUGCUAUGGUUGUAGUUUCUUUAGUGUCUGUAAUGGUAUCUUAAAGCUUAUGCAUAAUCAAAUUAUACAAUUUAGAUAUGAUAUAUCUUGUACUACGUAAAUGUUCAAAACCGAUUAUUGUCAAUUUCCCGCAGCGCAAGGAUUUCAUAUAACAGUAUUAAGUCUUUAGGUUAUUUAUAGAUUUUUUGUGUUUUCACAGCUUUCAGAUUACAGUCGCUCUUUGUUAAUCUAGGUAGCUUUGUUCAUUUCAGGUAGUUAUAACAAAAAGUCGGUGUACUUUCUUUUAAUAUUUAUGAUUUAUGUAAACUUUGCUUCUAAAAAUAAAUACUUAGGGACACUGAGAUAGAUACUACUGAAUUUUUCAUUUACAUCCAUCUUUAUUUCAAAAGAUAAAGAUGAAAGUCUUUCUACCAGACUGGAACGACUAAAUAAGACAUAUAUAUUGUAUCUAUGAAAUCUUAAACAAAAUACUAGUAUAUCCAUUUGUUAAAAGUUAAACCAGUUGGAAAGUAAGCUUUAUAUAUUUUCAUAUUAUAUUGCACAAGGACAUUUAAAACAAUUAAGACCACAGUUUAAUUUCAGAAAAGCACUGAUCAGGUUACUUACCUGAGUCAUUUCAUCUAAUUCAAAGGAAACCAUUGCAAUGUAUAUAUUAUUCACUGAGGUUAAUGAGAACACAGAUGGAUUUUGUAUUAUGAUACCGGCUUGAUGUCCAUACAGUUCAUAAUGUCAAACAAUUCGUAAGUUGUCAUAGUGAUGAAUGUCUUGUUGUUGAUUGUUGAAUACUGCAAUAACUUUUAAAUUCUUUAUUUUAUCUAGGUAAUUAUGUAACUCAUAUGACUCUGGAAAUGUUUUCCCUAAUCAGCCGACCGCGUAAAUUUAGUAAAUGUUAUAUGAUUAUAUUAAUAUCAGCAUUAGUGUUGUUGUUUUGUUUUUCAACAAUAAAGGGGAGUAAUUGUAUAAA